UACGGAGGGUGCAAGCGUUAUCCGGAUUUACUGGGUUUAAAGGGUGUGUAGGCGGACUUUUAAGUCAGGGGUGAAAUCCCGAGGCUCAACCUCGGAACUGCCUUUGAUACUAUUGGUCUUGAAUAUUGUGGAGGUCAGCGGAAUAUGUCAUGUAGCGGUGAAAUGCUUAGAUAUGACAUAGAACACCAAUUGCGAAGGCAGCUCACUACGGAUAUAUUGACACUGAGGCACGAAAGCGUGGGGAUCAAACAGG
rnacentral:rRNA from 1 species